GGAAUUCGCCCUUAGAGUUUCCUUCUGGCUCAGGACGAACGCUGGCGGCGUGCCUAACACAUGCAAGUCGAACGGACCUAGCCUGAUAGCAAUAUUGGGCGACGGUUAGUGGCGAACGGGUGAGUAACGCGUGAGCAACCUGCCUUUCAGAGGGGGAUAACAGCUGGAAACAGUUGCUAAUACCGCAUAAAGUAUUUAGGUGGCAUCACCUUAAUACCAAAGGUUAAUUCCGCUGAGAGAUGGGCUCACGUCUGAUUAGCUAGAUGGUGGGGUAAUGGCCUACCAUGGCAACGAUCAGUAGCCGGUCUGAGAGGAUGAACGGCCACAUUGGGACUGAGAUACGGCCCAGACUCCUACGGGAGGCAGCAGUGGGGAAUAUUGGGCAAUGGGCGAAAGCCUGACCCAGCAACGCCGCGUGAAGGAAUAAGGCCUUCGGGUUGUAAACUUCUUUUAUCAGGGACGAAGGAUGUGACGGUACCUGAUGAAUAAGCCACGGCUAACUACGUGCCAGCAGCCGCGGUAAUACGUAGGUGGCAAGCGUUGUCCGGAUUUACUGGGUGUAAAGGGCGCGUAGGCGGGAAUGCAAGUCAGAUGUGAAAUCCAUGGGCUCAACCCAUGAACUGCAUUUGAAACUGUGUUUCUUGAGUGAUGGAGAGGCAGGCGGAAUUCCUAGUGUAGCGGUGAAAUGCGUAGAUAUUAGGAGGAACACCAGUGGCGAAGGCGGCCUGCUGGACAUCAACUGACGCUGAGGCGCGAAAGCGCGGGGAGCAAACAGGAUUAGAUACCCUGGUAGUCCGCGCCGU
rnacentral:rRNA from 1 species